AAAGAGUAUGUUAAUUGAUAAAUUUCUAUUUAAUUCCUAAUUAUUUUUAGAGAAAUUAUGAAAUAUUUACUUGAAUUAAGAAUAGAACCCUAUCUAAAUUAGAUUGCACAUUUGAUUUUAGGGAGGAAAUAAGUUGUUUUUUUUUUUUUUUUUAUGAAAAAUGAGAAUUAUAUGAUUAUUUAUUAUUAUUAUUAUCAUAAAAAUGGUCAUUUUGUUAUAAAUAACACCUUUGAAAAAUCUUAAGAAAGUAUCAUGUUAAAAAUAUUUUAUCAAUUAUGAGAAGUUAGAAUUUGCGAGAAAGAAAUUAACUUCUUGAGUUGAAGAAAAUUAUUUUUUAACCCAAGUGGAUUAUUAGUCAUAUGAACAAAACAAAUAUCAUUUUUGAAAUAAAGUACACAUUUUUAAAGACUUGUUUAAGAAAAGAGCCACAAGAGCCAAGUUAAUCUAUUUUUUAGAUAAGGUGACUACGUGAGAAAAAUUAUAAAAUAAGCAAGGAAUUUGUCAUAAAUUGAAUGACAACAAUGUGAAAAAUUACUAGAUUAAUUAAUUAAAAUUAGUGCUAAAGUAAAUAAACAAGCAUAAAUUGCAAAUUAUAAGUGAAUAAAAGAUUAAAAGUUAGAGUUGGCCCCUUUUUUGACCCAUCAGUGAGCUGCCCAGCUUUGGGCUUCAAAUUUUCUGAACUUUAGGUCCAUUUCCUGCAUCCAUAUCAGCUGUAUAUUGCAGAUUCAUUCCCUGCAUUUUUUUUGUGUAUAUACGGUGUGUAUAUAACCGUAUUUCAGUCACAUACACAUAACUUCAGCCCUCCCCCAGUAUAACCAGCUUCCUUUUCCAUUUCCAUUUUUCUGCAACUGUAUAUUUACGCAUAUCUGCAGUAUACCAGCAUUGUAUUGAUCUAAUCUCUUCAUGCAUUUGUCCAUUUUGGACUUGAUGUGGGUCUUGACUCAAUGAAAGUUGGGUUUAACCCAACGAAAUGCGAGGGAAGAGAGUCCGAGGGACUCAAUGGAGAAGUCCAUGCAUAAGAGACAAAAAGAUACGGAUUAGUAUCCAUACAAGUACGCUAUAAGGAUGAGAAUUAACCAAAAGAAAGAAAAGCAAAAUUAAUGCACCCUUGUCCUCCGCGAGACACAAAUCAUAAUAUGUAAUUACAAUUCAAGUGAUGAUUUUUCGUUCACAUCCGUUUAAUAUCCUCUACAUCAAAAAAAUAUACUUUGGCAUGUUUAAUUUAUAAACUGGAUAAAAUGUAUCAUAAAGAUGAUAAAAGAGUAAAACAAAAUAAAGUUGAUAUGAGUUUGAUGUACCAGUAAGUUUUUUAUAAAUGAGUUAACAUAGGCAGUUUAUCAACUCAAAGAACAUAUCAACUCAAAGAACAUGUAUUGGUUUCAAACAUAAUCAAAUGAGAAAAUAGUCAAAAGCCCCCACCUUUAACCCAAAUUCCAACUACACACUUAUACUUUGCAAGGGUCCUAUGACCCCUUUGAAUUAUUUUAAAAUGAAACUAUUACCCUUGAACUAUUUUAAAGUGGAAUAUCUACCCGUCUAAAAACUAAUACCCAGAUUUAAUUUUAAUUUAUGGUCUACACGCGCUGCCACGCGUCAUUCCACAUCAUAUUUCUUCUUUUUUUUACUAUAAAAAAUUAAUUCCACAUCAUAUGCCAUUCAAUUCUUCUUCUUCUUCUAUUUUUUUUCUUCUUCUUCAAUGACGACUUCUUCUUCUUCUUCAAUAGCAUAAUGAAUCAUAUGGAAUUCACACAAUAGGUAAUCUUAUUAAAAUCAAAUCAACAAUAAGUGUCUCGCAUGCAAUUACGUCUUUAAUUUAUAAUACCGCAGACCCUUUUUUUUCUUUUCCAUUUUUCUUCUUCUUCCUCCCCGCUUAAAACUUCAUUCGUUUUCACUCCGCCAGCAAUCUUGCUGUUUCUUUAGCCCCAAAUUUCAAUAAGUUUCUCCAGCUACCACUAUAAUUAGUUUUUACUUUUAUUGAUUCUCUAGAAAAAAUAAAAAUACAGUGAAAAAUACUUUCUUUCUUGCAAAAAUCUAACUUACUUUCAAUUUGAAUUGAUUCAACAUUCUCACAUAAUUCGAGUUCUUGGAUGUCAUUGAAGAAGAAGAAUAAGAAUGGAAGAAGAAAUGAAGAAGAAGAAUUGAAGAACAAGAAAGAAAAAUAAUAAUUAUAAUAGAAGAAGAAAUGCCAUUGAUGAGUUCUUGAAUGCCAUGGAUGCCAUUGAAGAAGAAGAAGAAAAAUUGAAGAAGAAAAGAAUGGAAGAAGAAGAAAUGAAGAAGAAAUAAAAAUAAUAAUUAAAAUUAUAUAUAUUUAUUUAAAGAAAUAUUAAAAAUAAAUUUUUAAGAAAUUAUUUUCGUUCUCACUCUCUUUUAAAGAAAGUGAAACACACUCUCUUGACAUGUCAGCGUUUAAGGGUAAUAAUUCCAUUUUAAAAUAGUUCAAGGAGGGUCAUAAUCCUUGCAAAGUAUAAGUAUGUAGUUAAAAUUUGGAGUAAAAGUUUGGGGCUUUUACUAUUUUCUCUAAUCAAAUUGAUGCCAAACUUUGCUACAACAUGCAAAAAAAAAAAAGUAGUUUCCAGACAAUAAUUUCAACAAGUGGCCAUAUAUUUCACAAAGAAGACCUCUAUUUUCAAUAGACUAAAACACUUUCAAACUCCUCAAUAUCAUAUUCAAAUCACAAAUGAGAUCAAUGAAUCCGUUUACUCCAAAAAUCAGGUUCUACUACUUUAAAAUUACAUAGUAAUAAAUAUGAAACUCAAUCCCUUUAAUUAAGAUUCACCUCCCCAUAGUUAAUGACAAACUGCACAUCGAUUGAUAUAAGAGGGAAAAUAUGGCUAAGAAUGUUACACAGACUCAGCCCCAAAUUAGAUUACAUAACAGGACAUCAUAUAACCACUGUCUUGAUUCAAAUCUGCCUUUAACACAAGCUCGGAAAAGAUAAAACACCCAAAAAAGAAAACGACAUCCUUAGCUUUUCCACGAGCAUGACGUAAUGGUGAACGAUACUUCCAUCAUAAAUUUCAAAACAAUCCACAUGCCAGUAUACUAUCAAAAAUUUAAAUUUUUCAAGAAUUCGCACGUAAUCGAAUAAACUCCCAAUGUCAACUGAUUCUAUCAUCAUUACCAUACAAUAAUGCAACCAGACAAGUCCACUCUCAUAAUUAUUGCAAGAUUAUGAUAUUUAAAUAUGAAGAAGAAAAAUGCAACAGAGAUGAAGUGUCACCUAUUUUUGAAUAGCGAACGGAGAUAAACGGGCUUAACGAUGUAACUUCUACCACCUAGACUCGAUUCCCAUCAAUGAAAUUUUGAACAGGCCUUCAAAUUUUGAUUCUUUUUUUUUGGAUGUUCUUCGAGAAUUUUUGAUUAAGUGAGAUUAGAAGCAUGCGCCUCCCAAAUCACCUCCGUAUUGCGUUGCAGACCUUAAAAAAGAAGUGGUAGGGUUUUCAAAUUUCAAAAUGUGAAUUUGGUUGAAUUUUUGAGAUGUUUUUUGAAUUCCACUUAAACUGAAUUUCUGUGAGAGAGGUGAAGAAAAGACUUGGGGGUUACUUCUUUGCCCGAAAUAGACUGAAAAAGAUGAAAGCCCUCUGAAUUUUAGCCAUGAAUGACUGUACGAGAGGGCAAAAUCAUAAAUGAGGGGUCUGGGUUUUUUCCCGUUGUUGGCUGUCGUUACUCUGUUACACGACGUUGGCACAGCUGUUGUGUGCGUUUGAUGUUGUUCGAUGCUGUUGUGAUAACGUUGCUGUUACAGUGUGAUAUCGCUGGGUUGUUGUUGUUGCUGUUACACUGUUGUUCUUGUUUGGAAGCUGUUAACGUUGUACGCUGUUUCUGGUUGUCGGUGGAUUUCUGUAUGUUAGAAAAGAGGAUUAAAAGGUGGGCUUGAGUGGACAAAUUCAGGUUGUUUUGGGCUGGUACAAUUGUUAUUGAAUUGGGCCUUGCUGUGGGGGCUGGGUUGUGGGUUGAUUUAGGUUGGGCUGAGGUGGAAGAUUAAAAUGGGUAAAUUGGUGGCCUAUAAAAAAUGGAAAAGGGCUGAGUGGAGGGUUUUUGGGGUAUUUUCAAUUGUAAAAAUUAGUCAAUUUUAAUUUAAAAUCUAGCUAAAUUGAAAAUUAAUCUAUCAGUUGUAUUACAAUUGUGGUCUAAUUAAUUUCAAUUACGUCCAAAUUCAGUGAAUCGACUAAAUCGAAUCAAAAUUCGAAAUAAAUUAACAAUUAAUUUAAUCCCGAGUUUCUUGAUUUAAUAAAAUCAAACAAAUAUUUUUCAAAAUAAAUUAUUUUUGAGACUAAAUUAUAUUCGAAUCAAAAUUUUAACCAUUUGAAUUAGUUUUUAAGAUAACCCUUGAUUAAAAUGUAAUUUUUGUAAAAUAAUUAUUUAUAUAACGAAAUUAUACAAUCUCGUAUAUAUGGAUACAAAAACAUAUAAUCGUUACUUAAGACGACCAAAUUACCUAUAUAAAUACUUGAGGGAAUUUUUAUUCGGAUCAAAUAAAUGUUGUAAUUUUAUUUAAAAGCGACGAAAUUUAGGGCUAAACUUGGUAGUGAAGAGCAAAAAUUAGGUGUCAACAUUUUUCAUUAUAAAGAACCACUUAAGAACCCUUCAAGAAUUCUUUCUUCUCUCUCCAUUUUUAUUGUACUUACUUUAUAUUUCAUAACAGUGGUAAUACUUUUCUUGAAUUGUAAAGAAUGUCUUAAAAUUAUUUUAUAAGCUUAAUUUAAUAUAGCGAGUAAAAUUGAUUUUUUUAAAAGUAUAGAUAAAUCUCAUAAUUAUUCUUUUUGAAUAGUAAGUUUAAACUCAUGUUUUUUUUAAUUAAAAAUGAGCUUAAGGUAUAAAGUUAAUUAGUAUAUAAAAUAUAAUUAAAAUUUUCCUGAAAAAUGAUAUUAAUAUUUGUGAUAUUUAUAAAAAUUAAUGUAUUGUAUAAAUUCAAAUAGUUAUUUAAGUUAUGUAUAUAAUGUUAAUUUAGUAUAUUAACUUUAUUAAAUUAAACAAAUGCAUUAAUUAAGAAUGUCAAAUAAGUAUGUAGAAAAAUACUACACUUUUUUCUCUGUUUUUAAAUACUUGUCAUGCUAAUUAAAAAUAGAUGUAUUCCAUAAAAUUUGUAUUUUUUAUUAAAAAUAUAUAUUUUAUAAUGUUCUUGUCAUUUUAAAAAAUCAAAAGGUAUAAUUUUACAAGUAUUUAUUUUCAUCUUUAUUUGUAGUCAUAAAUAUGAAGAUACAUUAUUAAUUUAGUGUAAAAGAAUUAAGUAUUAAAUUGAGAGAAGUAAUAAAUAGAUAAAGCUAAAUUAAUCUGAUUAGUCUCCACUUAAUAUUUUUCCUAAGAGGGUGCAAACUAAUGCGAUGAAGUAUUUAGGAACGAGAUGGUCUUACUUUCUGAUCCAUGUCCGACAAAUAAUUUCUAUAAUGCAAAUUUUGGGGAAUCUUUUAUAUAUUUGGAUAUGCAAUUCUGAUUUUUCUUUAAAAAGUAAUGACGAAUUCUCAAGGAAACUCAAAGUGGAAAAAUGGACAUUGUAGUUAUAGUUUUGUAUGUUUAAUAUAUUUUACCAUGACAACUGAAGCAGUGGUCACAAGAAAGAGAUGAAACGAUAUGAGACGUUAAGAUCUGUUGAAGAUUAUCAUCGUUGGGGUACUAGCGACUCGACAAGCAUUGAAAAGUGCGUUACAAAAUGGCUGGUCAAAGAUUUAGUGGGCGUUUGACCAUGAAAAUUAAAAUUUUUGAUGUUAAGAGUUGAAGUUGUGUUUGUCCAUGAAUAUAAUUGGAGUUAUUUUUAAAUUUUUGUGAGAGAAAGAAGAUGAAAAAAAGUGAAAACAAUUUUUUUUUGUUUUUCACUUUUUCAAAUACAAUUUCAAGUUUUAUUUGAAAUUCUCAUUGCCAAACAUCAACUUGAGGUUGCAUUUUUCAUAAAGAAAUUUUUUUUUUUUCGAAAAAAUAAAAAAAUUCUCAUGGCCAAAUGAGCUGUUAUAUAGGACGCACAAAAUAUGGUGCAAGUGCUACGAAAAAUGACAAUGUCCUAAAAAUUACAUAUUACUUGUGAAAAUAUACGGAGAUUGGUUAAUUCUUUUGUGGAGAUUAACUCGCUUGGAACGUGCUAGCUUGUAAUAUAGCUCAAUUCUCUCUUUUGAUUUCACAUGGAAUUUCUUGCGAAUCUGAUUUCCCGUCAUGUUACUAAAAGUUUUAUCCAAAAAAGUUAAUAACCUUGUCUAACCAUAAUCAACUUCAAAAGAUAUUCACUUUACAAGUUUAAAAGAUUCACGACCAUAUAAUAAAUGUAUAUCACAUUGUAUAUCAUGUAUAUUAGUGUUUAAAAUGAAACUGAGAUUUGAAUCAAUAUACAAGCAUACAUAUAGAUCAAUGUAGCUUGAAGACUAAAAGGUUCAACUUUACAUUACUCAAUACCAUCUCAUUCUAAUAUUGAUUAAACUAAUCAAUAUGAAGUCAAUAUUGCACCAACUCUCUUAGUCUGGAAGAACACUUGGACAUAUACUAAUUAGUAUUACUUAUGAAUAAACUAUUUAUGACUAUUGAAAUGAAUUGGGAUUAAUUAUAUGACUUUUUUUAUAUUCGUGUUCAUUUCAAUUUAGACCCUUUCUCUCAUUGUAAAUUGUUUUACCUAAAUAUGUAACGUUUUUAAGAGAUUUUAGGUUUUGUGGAGUAACUAACUUCUAUAUUUCUAAUCUCCAUCUUUUUUCAAUGAAUUUUCUCGGGUCCAUCUUUUUUGAUAACUUUUCAUAUGUCACACUUACACAAAAAAGGGCAUCUAAUAGUCUAUAUUACACACGACCAAAUUAUCUUAGGCAAGUUCUUUCAUUUUAAUUGUUUAAGUUCAUUCUUUGUACACAAACAAUUCCUAACAUAUUCUGCCAGAAUCUUCACAAAUUAUAUCCCCAAUAAAGAUAUAUGUUGAUAUGCCCUUUUCUACACUACUGUAUAAGUAUAUAUGUUUGAUUAUGUGGGAUUUCAUGAACCAAAACAUCAAUAUCUUUAUAGAAGUUGAUUAUGUUUUUUUUUGUACUAGUGUUCACUUUUACAACUUUAUCAAAAUUGAUUUUGCAAUUAUUUCCUUAUGAUUCCUAUUUUAUCAGUAAAAUAGCAUUUCAUUUAGUUUAUGCCACUUAAUUUAUUAAAAUACAUAAAAAAUGAUAUCUAGACAUAAUAACAUUGGAUCACACCCCUUGACAAAGACAUUUCUUUAACGGGGUGAAAAAGAUGCAUCUAUACACUAGGAAAAGGUUUCAAGGUUGAUCCUCUACAUUAUGUAACUGGACUAUUUAUUUUUUAUUUUAACAAAUUAAUUUAAAAACAAGUGAACUAGACACUUGGACAUUUGAAAAUAAACAUAUCUUGCUAAGAAAUAUCAUUUUUACUUGUUAGGAUAAUUACACUUGUAUUAAAGGGCAGCUCGGUGCACUAAAGCUGCCGCUAUGCGCGUGUUCGGGAAAGGGUCCCAUCACAAGGGUGUAUUGUACGCAACGUUACCUUGCAUUUCUGCUAGAGGCUAUUUCUAAGGUUUGAAUUCGUGACCUCCUGAUCACAUGACAAUAACUUUACCAGUUACUCCAAGGCUGCCCUUCGAUAAUGACACUUGUAUACAACAACUAAUAACAAUAAGGAUAUUCUUGUUCAAAGAUUUAAGACUUUUCAUGAACUGAAGCUUAAAAGAAAUUGAUAUCUUAUAGCCACUUCUAACUUCACUUUCGAAAGAUGUAUCCCCUCAAAAUACUAUAUGCAUCCAGUGGUCCAAAUACACACGAAAAUGCAACGCUCUGUUUUAAAAAAUGGAAGAGGGUGAACUGAAUUUAGUUAUUGAAGACUUGCAAAUCGAGUAUCAAUUUAUAAAUUUCAAAGUAAACAAUUAUUAGAAGUUUUAUCCAAAAAAGUUUAUGAAUCUUGUAUCUAAACAAAAUCGACUUCAAAAGAUUUUCAAUAUCACGAGAUCGGAANNNNNNNNNNNNNNNNNNNNNNNNNCAUGUUGUAUAUCAACAUAUAAAAUUGAGAUAAUACAUAAAUAUGACCAUAAACUUGACAUCAAAUUAUAACUUUAACCUUAAACUUUGACAGUGCACAAAUAUGACCUUCGAUCCUAUGUAGCAAAACGCGUAUUCAACACGCAAAACUGGGCGUGUCCAGCUUAAAAUCUAAGGGAAUAAUACAUAAAUAUGAUCUUAAACUUUGACAGUGCACAAAUAUGACCUUCGAUCCUAUGUAGCAAAACGCGUAUUCAACACGCAAAACUGGGCGUGUCCAGCUUAAAAUCUAAGGGAAUAAUACAUAAAUAUGAUCUUAAACUUUGACAGUGCACAAAUAUGACCUUCGAUCCUAUGUAGCAAAACGCGUAUUCAACACGCAAAACUGGGCGUGUCCAGCUUAAAAUCUAAGGGAAUAAUACAUAAAUAUGAUCUUAAACUUUGACAGUGCACAAAUAUGACCUUCGAUCCUAUGUAGCAAAACGCGUAUUCAACACGCAAAACUGGGCGUGUCCAGCUUAAAAUCUAAGGGAAUAAUACAUAAAUAUGAUCUUAAACUUUGACAGUGCACAAAUAUGACCUUCGAUCCUAUGUAGCAAAACGCGUAUUCAACACGCAAAACUGGGCGUGUCCAGCUUAAAAUCUAAGGGAAUAAUACAUAAAUAUGAUCUUAAACUUUGACAGUGCACAAAUAUGACCUUCGAUCCUAUGUAGCAAAACGCGUAUUCAACACGCAAAACUGGGCGUGUCCAGCUUAAAAUCUAAGGGAAUAAUACAUAAAUAUGAUCUUAAACUUUGACAGUGCACAAAUAUGACCUCCCUCCAAGUCAGCCCUUUUAACGAUGUGACACCGUGUGAUUGGAUUACCUUUUCACGUAGGUGCGAGUGAAACUCACGCAUGUGAUUGCAAAAUCGUAGGUCAUAUUUGUUCAGAUUUUGAAUAGUUAAAGGUCCUAUUUGUGCACUAUCAAAGUUUAAGGUCAAAGUUAUAAUUUGGUGUCAAGUUUAGGGUCAUAUUUAUGUAUUAUCUCUAUAAAAUUGCAUUGAUAUUUUCACUGAUAUACAUAUAUACAUAAGACAAGCCGAUAUACAUGAAUUUAUAUGGUGAUAUACAUGAAGGAAUAUAUGUAUGGAGUCUUGUAAAACAACUCACUUUAGAAUGAUUUAAAUUUAAAAGGAGUUAAUCAUUCAAUUCACUUGAUAAUAUUAUUAGAAUACAAUCUCAGUCUACACAUAUUUUUUAGAAAAUAAUUAUUUUCUGCUGAUGUAAUUAUAUUUUUGCAUGCUACAAAAUAAAUAAUUAAUUUACGCCCCAUGAGGUUAUGUCAAUUAAUUGAUUUAAUGUGACGAUUAAAUAAAAAUACUUUUUACUUGAAUUAUAUUAAAAGGUGUAAAGACCUAUUGCAAUUAGUCUUUAAAUUGUGUCACAAUCUUAGUCCACACCCUGAACGAGAUAUGGUCCUUAGAACCACAAGUAAUCCUGAGCCAACUCUUGGCAUAACUUAUCUAAAUAUAAUAUGAAAAAAACUAAAGCGAACACUGUAAAUUAAAAGAUAUGAAAAUAAAUUUCAAAGAUAAAUCUAUUACAACUAAAUACACUACUUAUGUCUGAAAGCUUCUACUAAAAGAAUGAAUUGUUGGAACAAAUCCCCAACUAACUCAAAUAUUAGAAUACUAGAAAGACUGAAAUAAGAAGACAAAACGACUAAGAUAAGUCCCCGAAUAACGAGGACUCACCAACUGUUAAACUAUGAAAUGCCACUCUCCACAAGCCUGAGAACGAUUGCUCGUAUCUACAUCAAAUGAAAAAUAUAGAUAAAAGAGGUACGUGAUCAUUACGUUUGAAUGUAUUGAGUAUAAAGGAAUGGCUAAAUAAUUGAAAUCAUAUAAAUGACAUAAAUAGAUAAAAGAGCCACAAAUGACACAUUUAUAAAUGUAAACAUAAAAUAAUAAUAAUAAUAAUAAUAAUAAUAAUAAUAAUAAUCAACUAUGCAUAAGUUUAACUAAAACCAUGAUAAAAGCUUUAUGAGAAAUACAUAUCUGAAAUCGUAUUAUGAAGAGUCAUAAAAUGAUCAUAUCAAAGGAUGUCAAAGCAAAGCAAAUACUUUUAGGGGGUGAAAAUCUAAAGAAAAUUAUAAUAUCUAAAAUUUGAGUAAAAGUUCAUUUAGAGAUAAAGUAAUGAAGUCAUACAUUUGUAAUAACUAAAAUUGAAUCCUAUAUGAAUUUAAAUAUCUGAAGGAUGCAUAUAUGAAAUCAUGUUAUCUAAAGUUAUUUCAUAUUCAUAUUCAAUGAAGUAAAAAAAUAAAGAAAAUAUUAUAGGUGAGAGUUUUUUUAUAACCAAACAUCACUUGAGCUAGUAUGUUUAACGUCUAACUCAGUUGGGAGGACUGACCCAUACUUUAUCAAGAUAUAGGACCUAUCUAUCUAUAUAUGGAUUCACUAAUCUGAGCCUUUUAGGGCUAAAUGAUCAACUGAAAUUGCAGAAUCCUAUGGUGGCACGUAUUUAUGAAACUUGAGCUAUCUAGAAUCCUCAUUCACUCGGCGCUAAAUACUACUCCCAAAACUAUUUUAUAAUCAUAUACUCAAUAAUAAUUUAAAAAUCAACGUCGAUCUAUUGUAAAUAUCAAAAUUUUAUAAAAAAUUAUAUCUUGAAACUAUCAUAAACUUUACCCUUCCAUGGGCUUAAUCUAUCUUCUUGAAUAUCCAUAAUAACAUAAACGUUCUAAAAUAUUGCUUUAAAAUAUAAGCUUUAACAAAAAUAUUCAUGAUCAUAUCAGAAAUUAAAAGGGCAAUAAGAACCUUGCUAAGUAUAACAAGAAAAUACA
rnacentral:lncRNA from 1 species